GUGCGCAAGUCGCAGGGCUGUACGAAACCCGGAGGCGCAAUGAAAGUGAACGCCUGACUCGAUUCAGGCCUUGGUGGGAUCCCGAGAAGAGUUUACUCUCGACGGGCGCACCACCGGCCCGUCUCAGCCGCAGCGUCGGCGAGGCGGAGCAAGAGCGUACUUGUUGGGACCCGAAAGAUGGUGAACUAUGCCUGAGCAGGACGAAGCCAGAGGAAACUCUGGUGGAGGUCCGCAGCGAUUCUGACGUGCAAAUCGAUC
rnacentral:rRNA from 1 species